rnacentral:sRNA from 1 species
AAUUAGCCUGCAGCUGACGCCGUGGUCACCGCGUCCAUGAACUCCUCGUCGGAGAGGAGCUUCUCCAGCGCGGCCGGAGCAUAGCAUCAUCAGGUAACUGAGCUCUCUGAUGGCAUGUUCAUCGCCGUGGCGUUCUUAACCGGAAAGGAGUCCAGUCCAGCCAUUGAGCGGGAAGAAGGAGCAGACCAACCGUGGAUGAAGAGCGAAGCAACGAUGCCAGGUGGCGCAGAAUGGACAAACUCCACGCCUUAGUUGUUGGAGCACAGCUAGAUGGAGAUGCUGCUUGGGCGACGCACGCAACAUCCUUCACCUCUGCCAAAGCAAGUAAAUGGAUUAUAAUGCACCAGAGCCCAAUACUAUUUGAAAUAGUGAACUGGAAUGAUUAGAUGCUAUGAUCAUUUCGCUUCAUGAAAAGAGCAGGAAUAUUAUUAGGCUUACCAGUUCUCUUCAAAUGCCUCUACUGCUUGGCUAGACCCUAAACAUAAUGUCCUCGGUUAUCUUGUUCUUUGAAUUCUUUCACAUCCUCCUGGUUCAGAAUAUCGCAGAAAUAAAUCAAAAAAAGUUGUACUAGGCAACUCAAAUACAAAUUUACAAACCACAGAUAAAUUGCUACUACCUAUGUCUCAAAAUAUAAGGUAUUUUUGGCUAU